rnacentral:lncRNA from 1 species
UACUUACCAUACUGAGUAGAUAGGAUGAACGUUCAAAUAAACAUAUAAGUCAAAAUCAUAGAAAAAUUGGUGUAGAAGAAACCUCCAAAGGUCGCCUAGUCUAUCCCUGUGCUCAAGGCAGGAAUAAGUAUUCAUUAUCCUUUCCAUAAUCCUGGAAUAGCUUUCCAUUUGGCAUUCCUCUCUGCCUUGUUUCAGCAGUUGUCCUAUUUUAAAGAAUAUCUGGACAAGGCAUUCCUUGGACAUCACAACAAUGGGUGUAUCAUCAUGAACUCAGACUGACAAUGCUUCUAGUCACAUUUUAUUUCCACUCCAGAACAACUAUAAGUGCUACAUCCCAAGCUGCAGACCUCGCACUCCGGAAAGCAUGCUUCACCUACUCCUCCCAGAUCCACAGGCAACAAACCCCACAAAUGAAGCAUAUUUGCCUCUUAAAGCACUCCUGACAGCACACUGAAAAGCACACACAAGAGCAGAACUAAGGUGGGUUUCAAGGCUGCUCUAAGUUAGUUACAUUGUCUCAUUUUGGGGACUUGAUGCAUG